GACGAACGCUGGCGGCGUGCUUAACACAUGCAAGUCGAACGGAAAGGCCCUGCUUUUGUGGGGUGCUCGAGUGGCGAACGGGUGAGUAACACGUGAGUAACCUGCCCUUGACUUUGGGAUAACUUCAGGAAACUGGGGCUAAUACCGGAUAGGAGCUCCUGCUGCAUGGUGGGGGUUGGAAAGUUUCGGCGGUUGGGGAUGGACUCGCGGCUUAUCAGCUUGUUGGUGGGGUAGUGGCUUACCAAGGCUUUGACGGGUAGCCGGCCUGAGAGGGUGACCGGCCACAUUGGGACUGAGAUACGGCCCAGACUCCUACGGGAGGCAGCAGUGGGGAAUAUUGCACAAUGGGCGGAAGCCUGAUGCAGCAACGCCGCGUGCGGGAUGACUGCCUUCGGGUGGUAAACCGCUUUCGCCUGUGACGAAGCGUGAGUGACGGUAAUGGGUAAAGAAGCACCGGCUAACUACGUG
rnacentral:rRNA from 1 species